GAUGAACGCUGGCGGCGUGCCUAAUACAUGCAAGUCGAGCGAACAGACGAGGAGCUUGCUCCUCUGACGUUAGCGGCGGACGGGUGAGUAACACGUGGAUAACCUACCUAUAAGACUGGGAUAACUUCGGGAAACCGGAGCUAAUACCGGAUAACAUGUUGAACCGCAUGGUUCAACAGUGAAAGACGGUCUUGCUGUCACUUAUAGAUGGAUCCGCGCCGCAUUAGCUAGUUGGUAAGGUAACGGCUUACCAAGGCAACGAUGCGUAGCCGACCUGAGAGGGUGAUCGGCCACACUGGAACUGGGACACGGUCCAGACUCCUACGGGAGGCAGCAGUAGGGAAUCUUCCGCAAUGGGCGAAAGCCUGACGGAGCAACGCCGCGUGAGUGAAGAAGGUCUUCGGAUCGUAAAACUCUGUUAUUAGGGAAGAACAAAUGUGUAAGUAACUAUGCACGUCUUGACGGUACCUAAUCAGAAAGCCACGGCUAACUACGUG
rnacentral:rRNA from 1 species